GACGAACGCUGGCGGUGUGCUUCAUACAUGCAAGUCGAACGAUAAGGCCCUUCGGGGUACAUAAGUGGCGGACGGGUGAGUAACACGUAGGAAAUCUGCCCUAGAGUGAGGGAUAACUUUGGGAAACCAGGGCUAAUACCUCAUAUGUGGCCAGUUGAAAUACUGGUCAUGAAAGAUUUAUUGCUCUAGGAUGAGCCUGCGUCUGAUUAGCUUGUUGGUGGGGUAAUGGCCUACCAAGGCGACGAUCAGUAGCUGGUUUGAGAGGAUGAUCAGCCACAAUGGGACUGAGACACGGCCCAUACUCCUACGGGAGGCAGCAGUAGGGAAUUUUGCGCAAUGGGCGAAAGCCUGACGCAGCAACACCGCGUGAGCGAUGAAGCCCUUUGGGGUGUAAAGCUCUGUCAGUAGGGACGAAACUUGACGGUACCUACAGAGGAAGCAUCGGCUAACUACGUGCCAGCAGCCGCCGCGGUAA
rnacentral:rRNA from 1 species